AUGAAAGAGGAAUUUAGGGUUAAGAUAUGGCUCCUCAUCUUCUCAAUCGCGUGCACUGUGAACAACGAACACCCACCAUCGUUCAACUCCGCUCGGCCUCUCUUAAUCUAUCAUCUCCGCUCGGCCUCUCUUAAUCUAUCAUCUCCGCCCAGACUUCUCCUUCCAUCGUCUGCUUCUAAUUUCCCCCUUCAAACGAUUCGGUCUAUCAACAAGAUUUCCUCAUCUCUAUCACAACCUUCGCCUUCAUCCAUCAUGAUCUCGUUCACGAUUCAAUCCUCCGUGAACGAUUUGUAUUCUGCCUCCUCUAUUCGGCUUCGAUUCACAUAA